GACGAACGCUGGCGGCGUGCUUAACACAUGCAAGUCGAACGGAAAGGCCCCUUUGGGGGUACUCGAGUGGCGAACGGGUGAGUAACACGUGAGUAACCUGCCCUUGACUUCGGGAUAACUUCAGGAAACUGGGUCUAAUACCGGAUAGGAAUCCUUGCUGCAUGGUGGGGGUUGGAAAGCUUCGGCGGUUUUGGAUGGACGCGCGGCUUAUCAGCUUGUUGGUGGGGUAGUGGCUUACCAAGGCUUUGACGGGUAGCCGGCCUGAGAGAGCGACCGGCCACAUUGGGGCUGAGAUACGGCCCCGACUCCUACGGGAGGCAGCAGUGGGGAAUAUUGCACAAUGGGCGGAAGCCUGAUGCAGAAACGCCGCGUGCGGGAUGACGGCCUUCGGGUUGUAAACCGCUUUCAGCAGGGGCGAAGCUUGUGGUGACGGUACCUGCAGAAGAAGCACCGGCUAACUACGUG
rnacentral:rRNA from 1 species